rnacentral:lncRNA from 1 species
UGCAGUGGAGAUGGGUGGUAAGUGGGUCAUAAUCAUAAGGCUGCUGUUUGGGUCUGGCUUUAGUAAGUUUGGUACCAGUAGCCUGGGUGGUUGUUAAUCUUGUCUUACUCCUGGGCAGACUGGAUUGCCUUCAGGACUUUGAUCUCUAGGGCUGGCACUAGGGCAGGGUUCUACAGUUGAGUCUCCCUGUGGUGGGCCUAAUACUAGGUUUGUGGAUGAGUAUGGCUCCCACUUAGUACCUGGCAGGAUUUCCCCAGGUCACUGUAUGGGUCCUUAGGUGGACAGAACUGGCCAUGGACUGUGGCUACGAGGGCUGAAACUGAGUACAGCUGAAGUGCCCGCCUCUCUGGGCAUGAAUGGGCAUCUCUCCCCAGGUCUCUGAAUGGGCAGGACCACUUCUGGACCAUGGCUGGGAGGAUUUGGAGACGGGUAGAGUCACUUUUGAAUUGUAAGUGGGGUCAAGUUGAGUGGACCAUUUACUGGUGUGUAGCCAAAGCCAGAGGUCCUCAACUUUGCCACCUAAAUGAGGAUCAGCCUUCUCAAAAUGACUCCCGUUGGUCUUAGGCUUGAGCAGGGUUUCACCACCUUCUUUCUGAAUCUCAAAAUUAGUAUACAGCCUAUUUUUUUGAGACAUGGUCUCACUAUAAUUACCCAGGCUGGUCUCAAACUCCUGGCAUGAAUUGAUCCUUGUGCCUCAGCCUACCAAGUAGCUGGGAUUACAGGUGUGAGCCAGAAUGUCUGUCAAGAUAAUGGACUCCCUGUAUCACUUCUUGUAGGUGUGUUCUAGAGGCGGCAGACACCUUCAACUUUUGUUUAUUUUAGAAAGUCUUUAUUUUUUCUUUAUUUUUGAAGUAAAUUUUCCCCAGGUCAAGUCCUCUUGUUUGAUAGUAUUUUAUUUUUAAUCACUUGGAGAUUUUGGAAGUCCUUAGUCCCUUUUUUCUUUAAAUAACCCCUCUACCAUGUUUCCUCCAGUAAGUCCCACAUUCUAUCUUCAUGUUUCUCCAUUUUUAAAAAGUUUAUUUCCAUGACUUAAUAUUUAUAAAUGAUACAUCUUUCUGAUUCUUUUUUCUGCUUUAUUAAGUCUGCUGUUUUGACUCUAGUAAAUUUUUCAACUAUUAUUUUAUUCUUCAGCUCCACAAUUUCAAUUGGGUUGUUUUUCAUAGUUUUUAGCUCUUUGCUGUUAUCUCAUUUCUUUUGCAUCUUUAUUUUGUCUAUGUUCUAAUUUUGCUUAUUCAGCAUAUUUAAUAUAAUUAUUUUCAAGUCACUGUCAGAUAGUGCAAAGUUUUGUUCCUUCAAGAGGGACAUGUUUCCUGCCUUCUCUUUAUGUCCUGAGCUCCUUUGAUGAGAUUUGGAAAUUUAUAAGCAGCCAUCUAAUGUAGUAUUUAAAGACAGGCCUACCACAGGGGUGUACUGACAGCAGUCAAUCAGGCUAUAGAUUCUGGAGGCUUCACAAACAUGUUCCCAGUUGUGUCUUCUCUGGACUUAUGUUUGUAUUUUCUAAGUUAAAGACAAUUUUCCUCAUUUCAUUUCCAGAUUCUGUAGUCUUUUGCUUCCCUGGUUGACUAGUGUUACCACCAGUUUCUCUAGUGUUAUAAUAAGUACCCGCUUUUCUUCUCAACAGCUACAAACUGUUAUCCUAUUACCCCAUCAUUUCCUUUAACAAUCCUUGUUAGGGGGGACAGAAUGUAGUCACCAGACAGUUCUUUAAAAUGCCAAAGCUUUGAAUGUGUGUUUCACUCUUCUAGGUCACUCCUGAGGGAGACACUGAGAAUUGUUUGUUUUUUCCUGAACCUAAUUGCUAUUCUGGGAAAGAAGAAGGGACGUGGUGAACAGUCUGUAAGCAUGCAGCAAAGGACGUAUCCCUGGAAUAUAAAAGGGAGAAGACAAUAGCUAUACAUCCAGAUUGAUGGGAAUGUAUGAGCAGAGGAGAUAAUACAUAUGAGAGGCCCAAAGGUCAAAGAGGAAACCAGAGUUCAAAAUGUGGUUUUGCAAGCUCUGCUUCAACGGAAUUGUUUUUUUGACAAGCCUAUAUUUAUUUUUUUUACCAUCACAGAGGGCAAUUUCCUGCACUAUGGUUAUUAUGCUUUUAAAUUCUCUAAGAAUUCUCCUGUCCAUCAGUGAUCUACCAGUGCAUUCACAGUGAGAGCUGAACUCUUCCCUUUAUGCUGUGGGGGACCUGUGUGAUCUGACUGCUCUUCCAUUGCUUUGAGGGAUCUGGAUAAAUUUGUGCACAUGUUUGGAGACUUCUAUGUUAGGCUAUUUUUAAAGAUCUGUUUGUGCCUUAUGUCAGACGUCUGUGAUGGGAGUAGUGGAGACAUUGGGAUUUUGUUCAGAAAUUCCAGACAUACCAGACUCUUGCUGUCAGCCAGGCU